ACACGUAGGGGGCGAGCGUUGUCCGGAAUUACUGGGCGUAAAGGGCGUGUAGGCGGUCAAUCAAGUCAGGUGUGAAAUUUCAGGGCUUAACCCUGAGCGUGCACUUGAAACUGGUUGGCUUGAGUGCAGGAGAGGAAAGUGGAAUUCCCAGUGUAGCGGUGAAAUGCGUAGAUAUUGGGAGGAACACCAGUGGCGAAGGCGGCUUUCUGGCCUGCAACUGACGCUGAGGCGCGAAAGCUGGGGUAGCGAACAGGAUUAGAUACCCUGGUAGUCCCAGCCAUAAACGAUGGGUACUAGGUGUAGGGGGUUUAGAUGCCCUCUGUGCCGCAGUUAACACAUUAAGUACCCCGCCUGGGGAGUACGGCCGCAAGGCUGAA
rnacentral:rRNA from 1 species